UGGCGAACGGGUGAGUAACGCGUGAGGAACCUGCCUCAAAGAAGGGGACAACAGUUGGAAACGACUGCUAAUACCGCAUAAGCCCACGACCCGGCAUCGGGAAGAGGGAAAAGGAGCAAUCCGCUUUGAGAUGGCCUCGCGUCCGAUUAGCUAGUUGGUGAGGUAACGGCCCACCAAGGCAACGAUCGGUAGCCGGACUGAGAGGUUGAACGGCCACAUUGGGACUGAGACACGGCCCAG
rnacentral:rRNA from 1 species